rnacentral:rRNA from 1 species
CGGAGGGUGCAAGCGUUAUCCGGAUUUAUUGGGUUUAAAGGGUCCGUAGGCGGAUCUGUAAGUCAGUGGUGAAAUCUCACAGCUUAACUGUGAAACUGCCAUUGAUACUGCAGGUCUUGAGUAAAUUUGAAGUGGCUGGAAUAAGUAGUGUAGCGGUGAAAUGCAUAGAUAUUACUUAGAACACCAAUUGCGAAGGCAGGUCACUAAGAUUUAACUGACGCUGAUGGACGAAAGCGUGGGGAGCGAACAGGAUU